rnacentral:rRNA from 1 species
GAUCAUGGCUCAGGAUGAACGCUAGCUACAGGCUUAACACAUGCAAGUCGAGGGGCAGCAUGAACUUAGCUUGCUAAGUUUGAUGGCGACCGGCGCACGGGUGAGUAACACGUAUCCAACCUUCCGUUUACUCAGGGAUAGCCUUUCGAAAGAAAGAUUAAUACCUGAUAGUAUGGUGAGAUUGCAUGAUAGCACCAUUAAAGAUUUAUUGGUAAACGAUGGGGAUGCGUUCCAUUAGGUAGUAGGCGGGGUAACGGCCCACCUAGCCGACGAUGGAUAGGGGUUCUGAGAGGAAGGUCCCCCACAUUGGAACUGAGACACGGUCCAAACUCCUACGGGAGGCAGCAGUGAGGAAUAUUGGUCAAUGGGCGAGAGCCUGAACCAGCCAAGUAGCGUGAAGGAUGAAGGUCCUACGGAUUGUAAACUUCUUUUAUACGGGAAUAAAGUAUCCUACGUGUAGGAUUUUGUAUGUACCGUAUGAAUAAGCAUCGGCUAACUCCGUG